rnacentral:rRNA from 1 species
UCGAGAAUCAUUCACAAUGGGGGAAACCCUGAUGGUGCGACGCCGCGUGGGGGAAUGAAGGUCUUCGGAUUGUAAACCCCUGUCAUGUGGGAGCAAAUUAAAAAGAUAGUACCACAAGAGGAAGAGACGGCUAACUCUGUGCCAGCAGCCGCGGUAAUACAGAGGUCUCAAGCGUUGUUCGGAAUCACUGGGCGUAAAGCGUGCGUAGGCUGUUUCGUAAGUCGUGUGUGAAAGGCGCGGGCUCAACCCGCGGACGGCACAUGAUACUGCGAGACUAGAGUAAUGGAGGGGGAACCGGAAUUCUCGGUGUAGCNAGUGAAAUGCGUAGAUAUCGAGAGGAAC